GACGAACGCUGGCGGCGUGCUUAACACAUGCAAGUCGAGCGGUAAGGCCCUUUCGGGGGUACACGAGCGGCGAACGGGUGAGUAACACGUGGGUGACCUGCCCUCAGCUCUGGGAUAAGCCUGGGAAACCGGGUCUAAUACCGGAUAUGACUCCAUGACGCAUGUUGUGGGGUAGAAAGCCUUGUGCGGCUGAGGAUGGGCCCGCGGCCUAUCAGCUUGUUGG
rnacentral:rRNA from 1 species